GAUGCCUGGUGUCUGGGAGUGACAGGUUAUUAUAGAUGGAUAGAGAUGCCUGGUGUCUGGGAGUGACAGGUUAUUAUAGAUGGAUAGAGAUGCCUGGUGUCUGGGAGUGUAGUGACAGGUUAUUAUAGAUGGAUAGAGAUGCCUGGUGUCUGGGAGUGACAGGUUAUUAUAGAUGGAUAGAGAUGCCUGGUGUCUGGGAGUGACAGGUUAUUAUAGAUGGAUAGAGAUGCCUGGUGUCUGGGAGUGACAGGUUAUUAUAGAUGGAUAGAGAUGCCUGGUGUCUGGGAGUGACAGGUUAUUAUAGAUGGAUAGAGAUGCCUGGUGUCUGGGAGUGACAGGUUAUUAUAGAUGGAUAGAGAUGCCUGGUGUCUGGGAGUGACAGGUUAUUAUAGAUGGAUAGAGAUGCCUGGUGUCUGGGAGUGACAGGUUAUUAUAGAUGGAUAGUGAUGCCUGGUGUCUGGGAGUGACAGGUUAUUAUAGAUGGAUAGAGAUGCCUGGUGUCUGGGAGUGACAGGUUAUUAUAGAUGGAUAGAGAUGCCUGGUGUCUGGGAGUGACAGGUUAUUAUAGAUGGAUAGAGAUGCCUGGUGUCUGGGAGUGACAGGUUAUUAUAGAUGGAUAGAGAUGCCUGGUGUCUGGGAGUGACAGGUUAUUAUAGAUGGAUAGAGAUGCCUGGUGUCUGGGAGUGUAGUGACAGGUUAUUAUAGAUGGAUAGAGAUGCCUGGUGUCUGGGAGUGACAGGUUAUUAUAGAUGGAUAGAGAUGCCUGGUGUCUGGGAGUGACAGGUUAUUAUAGAUGGAUAGAGAUGCCUGGUGUCUGGGAGUGACAGGUUAUUAUAGAUGGAUAGAGAUGCCUGGUGUCUGGGAGUGACAGGUUAUUAUAGAUGGAUAGAGAUGCCUGGUGUCUGGGAGUGACAGGUUAUUAUAGAUGGAUAGAGAUGCCUGGUGUCUGGGAGUGACAGGUUAUUAUAGAUGGAUAGAGAUGCCUGGUGUCUGGGAGUGACAGGUUAUUAUAGAUGGAUAGAGAUGCCUGGUGUCUGGGAGUGUAGUGACAGGUUAUUAUAGAUGGAUAGAGAUGCCUGGUGUCUGGGAGUGUAGUGACAGGUUAUUAUAGAUGGAUAGAGAUGCCUGGUGUCUGGGAGUGACAGGUUAUUAUAGAUGGAUAGAGAUGCCUGGUGUCUGGGAGUGACAGGUUAUUAUAGAUGGAUAGAGAUGCCUGGUGUCUGGGAGUGACAGGUUAUUAUAGAUGGAUAGAGAUGCCUGGUGUCUGGGAGUGACAGGUUAUUAUAGAUGGAUAGAGAUGCCUGGUGUCUGGGAGUGACAGGUUAUUAUAGAUGGAUAGAGAUGCCUGGUGUCUGGGAGUGACAGGUUAUUAUAGAUGGAUAGAGAUGCCUGGUGUCUGGGAGUGACAGGUUAUUAUAGAUGGAUAGAGAUGCCUGGUGUC